rnacentral:rRNA from 1 species
UUUUAUGUAGAUGCCUAUAACAUUAGUGCAUUGGAUCCCAUCAUAAAUCUACAAUUAAGUGUGCUUGGGAUAGAGUAGUAUUGGGAUGGGUGACCUCUCCAGAAUUCAUAGUGUUUUACUU